GAGUCUAGCAUGUGCGCGAGUCAUUGGGAUUUUGAAACCUAAAGGCGCAAUGAAAGUGAAGGUCAACCACGCGUUGACCGAGGGAGGAUGGGUCGCGUCGCGGCGCGGUCCCGCACUCCCGGGGCGUCUCGUUCUCAUCGCGAGAAGAGGCGCACCCAGAGCGUACACGUUGGGACCCGAAAGAUGGUGAACUAUGCCUGGUCAGGACGAAGUCAGGGGAAACCCUGAUGGAGGUCCGUAGCGAUUCUGACGUGCAAAUCGAUCGUCGGAACUGGGUAUAGGGGCGAAAGACUAAUCGAACCAUCUAGUAGCUGGUUCCCUCCGAAGUUUCCCUCAGGAUAGCUGGCACUCGUGCGGAAAAAUUUUGAACGAGUCUCAUCCGGUAAAGCGAAUGAUUAGAGGCCUUGGGGCCGAAACGACCUCAACCUAUUCUCAAACUUUAAAUGGGUGAGAUCUCUGGCUUGCUUGAACCAUGAAGCCACGAGAUUUCGGAUCAGAGUGCCAAGUGGGCCACUUUUGGUAAGCAGAACUGG
rnacentral:rRNA from 1 species